CAAACCUGUCACAAAGCCCUGCCAGCCAGGGCACCCACAAAGCCCACCUUCUCCAGAGGGGCCUGAAUCUCUUGUUGGGCUUGGUGUGGGUUUCGGAGGCGAUGACUGGGCUGAAGUGACCUCUCUCAUUCAACAGACUCAGCCACUCAGGGCUGGGCCUGGCCUGACUCUAGGAGCACAAGAUGCAGCCUCUGUCCUCAGAGAUUCAAAGGUUGAGCAGACAUUGGCCACAGUCCCGGCUGGCUCCGACCGUGGCAGAGGCUGAACCAGAGCAGAGGAGGAAGCAGAGGGGUGGGCCGCAAGCUCUUCUUGGAGUCUCAGGAGCUGCAGAGAGCAAGCUGGGCUUCCUGGAGGAGGAGGCGUGAGAGUUGGGCCUUGAAGCACUCAGCAGCUGUUUCCUGAGCUGAUGUACAUCUCAUUAGUCUAUCAAGCUCCAACAGCCAAGGCCAAGGCCCCCAGAAUGAAAAACUGACGCAGCCACCCCUUCCUGUGCCAGAGACAGGAGAAGGGAGGGAGACUGACGGCCUUUGUUCUCUGAGCAAGACCGUAAAGCACUUCGCCUACAGGCCACAAGAGGGCGAUGGUGGUCCACACAUAAGAUCUUCCCAAAGAGCCAGCCAAAAACGCCUGCCUGGAGAAUCUGGAGGUUGUGAAAGGUGACUUUGUUAAGGAAGGGCGAUGGCCCUUCUCCCUGCCCCAGAGCUCUGAAAGCCUUUAAAGUGGCUUUAGCAGCGUGGUUUAAGAAUGGCUCCUUCGGUACAAGGACGGCCAUCACUGCUUCUCCUACUGUGUUUGAUGCCAGCGUUCUUCCCGUCUGCAGGGAAGGACGGAGAGUGAGGAGGGCACACAGGACGUAGCUGGCUCCUGGCCAUGGACGGUGACCGCUCUGGGGCCAGCAGGGUAGAGCUGCCUUCCUACAUCUGAGAACUCAAGGGCGAGAGGGAGGCAGGGCAGGGGAGAGGGUUGGUCUCAGUUCACAGGGCGACCCUCUGGCCCUGGUUCUGACGGCGACUCGCUGUGUAAGCUAAGGAGUGUCUCGCUCUGUACAGCGGGCAGGUGGUGGGUCUCUGCACGUCCAGCAUCUCCAGCUUUCCGUCCUCUGAGCUGUUUUGACAUGGGAGGCGCUGGCAGGGAGAGAGGGGUCACUGAUGUGGGAAGCUGGUGCAGAGCUGGGGAGUAGCUUGUGAUGCUGGAGAACCUGGAGAUGCCCCUCCCAUUCCUUGGGCCUCGACUGUCUCAUCUGUGGAAUGGGCGGGUCAGACUGGAUAAUCUCUAACCAUUGCUUCCCUUCACUUCUGUCCCAAUAAACACACACGGAGCUUU
rnacentral:lncRNA from 1 species